UACGUAGGGGGCGAGCGUUGUUCGGAUUUACUGGGCGUAAAGAGCGCGUAGGCGGUUCGAUUAGUCGGAGGUGAAAUCCCUCGGCUCAACCGAGGAUCCGCGUCCGAUACUGUCGAACUUGAGUGCAGGAGAGGAGAGCGGAAUUCCCAGUGUAGCGGUGAAAUGCGUAGAUAUUGGGAGGAACACCGGUGGCGAAGGCGGCUCUCUGGACUGUUACUGACGCUGAGGCGCGAAAGCUAGGGGAG
rnacentral:rRNA from 1 species